rnacentral:rRNA from 1 species
UACGUAGGGAGCAAGCGUUGUUCGGAUUUACUGGGCGUAAAGGGCGCGUAGGCGGUGUGUCAAGUCAGGCGUGAAAGCCCCGGGCUCAACCUGGGAACCGCGCUUGAGACUGGCACGCUCGAGUUCGGGAGAGGAUGGUGGAAUUCCCAGUGUAGAGGUGAAAUUCGUAGAUAUUGGGAAGAACACCGAUGGCGAAGGCAGCCAUCUGGACCGACACUGACGCUGAGGCGCGAAAGCGUGGGGAGCAAACAGG